rnacentral:rRNA from 1 species
UGUUGGCUUUCUAACCCGCACCACUUAUCGUGGUGGGAGACAGUGUCAGGCGGGCAGUUUGACUGGGGCGGUCGCCUCCUAAAAGGUAACGGAGGCGCUCAAAGGUUCCCUCAGAAUGGUUGGAAAUCAUUCAUAGAGUGUAAAGGCAUAAGGGAGCUUGACUGCGAGACCUACAAGUCGAGCAGGGUCGAAAGACGGACUUAGUGAUCCGGUGGUUCCGCAUGGAAGGGCCAUCGCUCAACGGAUAAAAGCUACCCCGGGGAUAACAGGCUUAUCUCCCCCAAGAGUUCACA